AUCCAUGUGGUUUUGGCUUCUUAAUGUAUGGGACCAAAUACUCAGAAAUAUUGGUUUAUCUUGUUUUUCCUAUCUAGUUUUAUGAAAAUUGAACUUACUAAUUUAAGAUUGGAGCAUUGGAUUUAAUGUAGAAUAGUUGGGUUAAGGAGAGCAUCUUCUGACCAUAUGCAAUAAGAUACAUUUUUUGUAUGGUCUGUAUAUACUAGAGCAUAGCUUGUUAAUCUAAUAUGUCUAGCUGAGCAUUGUGUUUGUUGUUGAAUUGUUGUUCUUUAACUGUCCAUAGUUCUCAAAUAUUGGUUAGAAGUGGGUGUUGGACCUGUGACAUAACAUUGCAGGCCUUUGGCUUUUGUUUUAGUUUUAGUUUCGCCAGAUGUAAUACCUCAUGGCGACUGAGAAAAGUGACAGCUUGGAAAUUGAGCUGUUAUCAUUCCCAGUAUACUAUGAAUUGCUAAUUUGAAAAGGCCCAACUGGUCUCAACUUGUGAGUACUCUAGUUAGUUGUCAAUACUUGUUGAAUGUAUUUUAUAAGUUUGGUUCUAAAUUUUUUUCUUUAUAAUUACAUUUGAUAUGGGGCUGCUAUUUUCUGCAGUUGAGCAAUGGCACUUAAGAGAAUAAGAGGUAUAUGCAUCAGGUUUCAUGCAUAAAGACAACAAUGUCAAUUGUGAUGUUGGUAAAAUUAAACAAAAUAAUUUGGUAUAUACAUCAGGUAUUUUUUUCCUAGCAUUUCUUAAGUUAUUCCGUUGGUUACUAUUUUUGUAAGUUAUUUAGGAAUGAUUAUCACAGGUUCAUAUGCAUUUGACAUUUCAAAUAUCUAGUUUUAUUGAGUAUCAAAGAUUGUGAAAGUUUAGUGAGAGGCUAGGGUUUGGGAUUUGGAUCUACUGCACUAGCAAGAUAAAAAAAAAGUAUUGCAUUUUUGGUAAUAUGUCAAAGAUGUUUUGACACACGUGACUAGCAUUGGUAUCACAUAUACCUUGUUUGCUUUUAUACAAUAAAUUAUGCUUUCCUAUAUGUAAUUGAGGUUGUUCUCAUUUUCUGCCACUGAUUUAUAGUUCUAUUACACCCUUUUCCUUGUCCUGCUUUCGUAUUUAUCAAUCUCUCGCUUGUCUCGUGUUGUAGCCAUUUCCAGUUCUCCCAGAUCCCCUGCUGCUGUACAUGUACGUGGAAGUGUGGGUGAAAAUUUAUUUUGGUGUUUACAACUUCUAUGGGAAUUUUCCUUUGUAUAUGUCUGAUAGGCUACAUUGUGUUGAAUCAAUCAUGGCAAUUAAACAGAAGAUAGGGUAAGAAGACGAAGGAGACAAACAAGAUUUGAAGCUGAAGCUAGAGCCAUUUCAGUUUCUCCCAGAUGCUUAGCUGAUGAACACGAAUAUGAUACUUCCCAAAUGAGCAGUUUCAGGUCGGACAAGCCGUUUCUUGAUAUCAGAAUUCCAGCCAAAACCUUGUCCUUUAGUGUGGUAAGCUUUUCUUAAUUUCAUAUAUAUAAUGAGAGAAAUUAACGAGUUUGGGCACUAUUACAGGUUUGUUGCUAGGUACACAUUUGUAAUGCAUGCGAUAAUGUACUUAGGCUCUUAUCAUAUAAUGAGUUUGAGGAUUGUUUCGCAUUUUAAUCUAAUAAGUUCUCAUCUGUUUGCUGCUUGUUUUGACACUCUUGUUUAAGUUCAAUGCUAUUGAAAAUGUUGGUCAGUAAAUGAAUGGUAUUAGUACCUACCGGUCUUGGUUGCUGCACAAUGGUGUUAAAUACAUGUUAGCUUGAGUAUUCCUUGCUUAAGAUUUUGAUACCAUUUUAUUAACAUGAGCAUGAAGCUAUUUAGGGUCGUCACAUGUGUCAAGUCAUGAUGGCUCUUCUGAAUUGUAGUAAGUGGCUACAUAUUUCUUGUUUUGUAGUGUUUCGUUAAAAUCUAAAAGUCUAGAUUGCCAUAUACAAUACCAUUUUGUUUUGGGAAUUAGAUAUUGGUUAUGUAAUUGAAAGCUUAAAGUAAGUGUCUUCCUUACUCUUUACUUCAUCUUAUAUAUAUGUGUGUGUGUGUGUCUAUAUAAAUUUCUUUACCCUAAAUGAAAUCUGAAAUGAACCUGUCACUUUUAUAACCUUUUAUGUUCUAGCUCUAUCAUAUUUCGAUGUAAUCAAGAUUUAAGUAGUUGUAUGUUUUUUUCAGGUACUUUCCCCUAGACUUGGUAGAAUUUUGCCUUAUUUGAUAUCAAGGAAGCAUAAAUGUUGCAGCUACAGGUAUAGAUAUCUAUUCAUAUAGCUACUGUUCUGUACAUAUCUCAUCACCUUACUCUAAGAGGACACAAUCAUUCAACCAUCAAUUUGAUAUAAUUCGACUUUCUCUGCAUUGAAAGCUAAUGCAACUGGAAGAAACUUCAAUUUGACAAGGGAAUUUCCUUGUGAUCUAGUAUUUGGAUAUGGUGUGAUUCUCUUGCUGUUUUGUGUGGAUAUUGAUUUGCACUUUGAGGAUAUAGGUACUGACUUUGAGCUCUCUACAUCGACUAACUUUGCAAAUGAACUCUGCACAGCUGGGUCUGAAUGGAGAGCUCUCAGGUAAGUCCAUCACCUUAAUUAUGUCCUUAUCUCUUACUUUUGUGCAAAUAAUCUGAUUCUAUACACCUUGUGUAUACAGGUGAGACCUUUAUUUUGUUCAAGAAGCAAACUAUCAGGAAGCUGGAAGUAAGACUCAAACUAUCAAUUUAUCAUCAAUCUUUGACUGAAACGUACAUUUAAUUAUCUUUAGUAUUUUAAUACCCCAUAUUGAACCAUUUGUAGGAUGCAUGAUCCUUGAUUGGCUCAAUUCACCUGUUGGAGUUGCCUUUCUCAGGGUAAUUCUCUUACUCAAUAGUAUUCUCUACAUUGGAAGGUUGAGUUGUCAAUGGCCUAAUGCCUCUAAGGGAUCCCUUGAUCAGUUACCUGUUUAAUAGCACAUGUAUAUUACCUAUAUAAGCUAAAACUUGAGGUAGUGGAAGUAUAUCAUGGCAUUAUUUGGCUAUUCUUGUGUCUUGAACCUUGGAUAUGAUUUCAGACUUUUCAAUAUACACAUGGUUUUCUUUUAUGGAUGAGCAGAUUGUAUAUAUGGAUUAUUUGAUAGAGUUUGCAUUCAUUGGUAUGUUAAUAUCAUUGCAUUUGCUAGAUGUAUCUCAUAUUAUUGAUAUGUUANNNNNNNNNNNNNNNNNNNNUUGAUAUGUUAGACUAAAAGUGAGCAAAGAUUUGUGUUACAUUUCUUUACUCUUUAGAAAUUUGAACUACUAUUUGAUAUCUCAUAUCAACUACUAUUUGUGUUUGUGUUGGGAAUCAGAUUUUUAGGAUAAUGUCAUGUUCAUGUCUAACUUUAACAUUAUGUUUUUCAGUGGGAUAGGAGAAACAAACUUGUCUACACCCAAGAUGAUUUGAAUUUGUUAAGGAAUGAGUGGGCAAAGUUCAUCAUCAGCAAAUACCUGUAGGGUACAUGAUCUGGUUUGUUUUGGUGAACUUGGUGUUUUCUAUAUGUAUGUGGUAGUACUUUGCUUUUGAACUUGGUGUUUCUAUAUAUUCGGAACAACUAUAUGGUAGUACGUACUUUGUGCAUUUCUCAUGUUGGAAUGCUUUUGGACAUGUAAGACUAUCUAGGAGCUUAACUAGUUGCUUGUUUUCAGUUUAUUAUUUAGCUGUAAUGUUGUUUGUGGAAGCUUGAAUGAUAUAUAUGAAAGCUGAAAUGCAAU
rnacentral:lncRNA from 1 species